rnacentral:rRNA from 1 species
CUACGGGAGGCACCAGUGGGGAAUAUUGCACAAUGGAGGAAACUCUGAUGCAGCAACGCCGCGUGGAGGAUGACACUUUUCGGAGCGUAAACUCCUUUUAUAUAGGAAGAAGAUGACGGUACUAUAUGAAUAAGCGCCGGCUAACUCCGUGUCCAGCAGCCGCGGUAAUACGGAGGGCGCAAGCGUUACUCGGAAUCACUAGGCGUAAAGAGCGUGUAGGCGGAUUAAAAAGUCAGAAGUGAAAUCCUAUAGCUUAACCAUAGAACUGCUUCUGAAACUCUUAAUCUAGAAUAUGGGAGAGGUAGAUGGAAUUUCUGGUGUAGGGGUAAAAUCCGUAGAGAUCAGAAGGAAUACCGAUUGCGAAGGCGAUCUACUAGAACAUUAUUGACGCUGAGACGCGAAAGCGUGGGGAGCAAACAGGAUUAGAUACCCGUGUAGUC